CCCGAUCCGUGCCGCCUGUCCAAUCUGUUUUGCGCAUGCGCAUAAUUGUGCGCAUGCGCAGAAGCUCAACUUGUUUUACGACAGUUUACGACCCUACCUGAUCUGUUCUACGCAUGCGCGACAACCGGAGUUUAAAAAUAGUGAAGAAAUGCGUCAUAUAAGAACACCGGCGAACAUAUGGAGGCUAAGUCAUUCGUAUAAAGGACCAACAUGGACCAGUAGUUAUUUCAUGCUGCCCUUCGGCAGUACCUACUAAGUGGGAUGUCGAUGUCGCGGUUGACUGGAAGAGAGUCAUGCGGGUGGCCAACCACUUCGUUGUAGAUGGUUUGUCCAUGCUGAUGGCUAUGCAGCAUAGUUGAAGCAGACCUGUCAGAAAACUUCUCUAAGGUGCUAUGAAUCCUAUGACUAGAUACGCAUCCUAAAAUUACUAGAGGUUACGGAAGCUCCUUUUUGGAUCCAGCUUCAUUUGUGAAGACUUCAGAUGAUGCCAACACUCACAGAGGCUUAAGAUGAUGGCAACAAUAU